AAUGUCGAUGGGCAGGGGUUUUCGUAAGGGCAGUGGGGGACCACUCUGUUCUGAAUAACAAGCCGAGAGGUUGGUGUGAGGUUACAGCACAAGCGGUGACAGAGCAGCAAGAUGACGAGACCGCAGAUGGCGUAUUUCUGCAGGUUUGUACAGAAUGCAAGAAAGUUACACCAAAACUGACUUAAUGAAAUGAGUCCGUUUUCAUACUGGGAGGAUGCAGUGCUACAAAGUAAACCGAGACCAAGCACCGGAAAAGGGGCACCCCUGACCCACUUACGUUGGGAGCAAAAAAGCAAAUCAUCCAAUCAAGGGAUAAUCUAUGGUUGGUUGCACUGAAGAGGAAGUCCAUGUGGUUGGUCGAAUCAUCGAAGAGUCAGACAUGCAUGCCUCACAUGUGAUGUACUUUCCUAUAGAAGUAAUAUCAACAAAGAGUUUGUCUGAGCAUAAUAUGCUGAAAGCGACGUACCUGUGACAGUAACAUGUAAGCCAGGUACAGAUUGAGUCAGAUCCACAUCAGGCGGCAUUAAAAACAAUAUCUGAGUGCUUACGCAACCGAUAAACACGCUGGUGAUGGUGUGCCUUUAAAACCAGUGGGUUGUCAGGUGAUCAAGGCGGCUCAGACACAGGAGCCUGAGUGCGUCUGUAGCUGGGAGCAGAGCGCCAGAGAGGAGAGCAGCCGAGAGGGAGAGACCUGUUUAGAAAGGAACAUGGGGGGAGAUGAGGACUCAGCUACAUCAGAGUGGGGGGCCAGAGGCUCGUGGUGGUAGGGUCCCUUUAACUGCAGUCUGCUUGUGCUCACUUGCCUUGUGUGACAGCUAGCAAGUGUGUUUCUGGCUCAGCUUGAUCAAGAAGCUGCGUUUGUGUAAGCCACAACAGUGGCAUAAAAAAAAGCACAGAGAAUUAAGUGCUGCGUCACACUCAGGAAGAGAAAUAGUGUGAUCAUGCGCGCGUGUGCACAGCUGCGUGUGUGUUGGUGUGUACAUACGCAUUUGAGUAGACUCUGUUGUGUUUGUCUGGCAGUGGGUAGGGUGUGUGUGUGUGUGUGUGUGUGUGUGAGAGAGUUGGACGUAGCAAUCUAAUAGCAGUUCUGCUGUUGCAACAAGAUGGAAAUAAAAGGAGUGUGUGUGCUUUUCAGUGGUGAGCAGAAAGGAAGCGAAGGGGAGAUACAGAGAGCAAGGGAGAGCAACUCAGAGUCAGUGGAAGAGAGUGAUUUCGGAUUAGUUGCUACGUCACUUUUUCAUGUCGAGAGAAACAGAAGCUGAGAUAACAGAAGCCCAGAGUCAUCACCCGGAGGAGGCACGUUGCUUUUCGGACACCUUCAGCUUCUGCCCUCUUCUUCUUCUUCCUUGGUAGUUUUGAUGUGCUCUACGUUUAGAGUGUGUGCGCGUGCGUGUGUGUGUGUUGCGUAGUUUUUGUGAGCUGGUGCCUGAGUUUCAACAUGGAUGCUGAGGAUUUGACACAGUUAGUUACUAGAGCUUGUUUUGAUUGGUUGGUUAGGUGGCGCUGGUUGCGACAAACAGGUUAACAGCACGAAUAUUCAGCCUGGGAUGUUUUUCAAAGAAUUCAUCGAGGUACAGCGCUGUUUUCCCCACUCUCUCCUCUAGGAAUAUGGGUGAUUUUUUUUUGCGAAUAGGUUAAAAUAAUCAAUGACGGUGCGGUCUGACCCUCCUAGUAUGCAGUCAGAACCAGCUCUGGACUCUUCUGGUUAACUCUGCUGAAGUUGAUGGAAAGAAUCAGCAUCCAGACUUGGAGGCAGAGGCUGCUGUAUGUUGCUGUCACAUACCACUCCGUAUCUGGUGAUACUUUCAUCAUGUGAGUUGUUUUCACCCGCCAGAGCCAUUGGGAUCUGGCAAAACCCUUCCCGAGACACAUUUGUUUCUGCGUAGUUAGGAGAGACAGAGAUGGUGACGCAGUCGCUUCUGGGCUGGACUUUGCUGCAACCGGCUAGUACCUCUCCUUUUUCCUCUCAGUCUGUUUAUCUGUGUGCCUAUCUAUCUGUCUAUCCGUCUCCUGGAGAAAGGAGAGGGUAAGUAGGUUUAAAUGUCAUGGCUCUGGAUCAGAAACAGAUAGAGAAGAAGAAGAGAGAGGGAGGGAGAGAAGGAAAGAGAAAAACAUAAGGUGGAGAGGAAGCACAGAGGGGUGCUGAGAUGAACCAAAACAGAGAAAAGUUGUAAACCUUGUUCUUUUUUGUGACUUAGCUUUGGCUUCUCUCCAAUGUACAUGAACUGGACUGGACUUCCUAAAACUGCUGCAUCACAAGCCUUCAUGCCAAGGCUGCAUUCUCAUUGGAUGGGAGGAGCUUCCCAGGCUUCACAGCAUUUCAUUGGCUUAAAAGAACAGGCAGCUGACAUUCAACCUCUGAUUGGCUGGGACGCAUUGUUUUCUCACAGUAAGGUUUAGCACUCACUAGAACACUUUUCUAUGAAUACAUGACUUAGUUAUUGCACAGUGGUUCAUUGUUGACAUUUAUUGAUUUUAAAUGCAAAAAAACAAAAGAAAUUUCAAUGAUAAAUGCAAUGAGAGUUUGUCCUAUGCAUAAAUUACAUUAUUCAAAGACAUUUUAAGAUGCUCUUCAUUCCAUAUCUAAGAGGAGGAAUAACAAAACAAUUUCAUAUCAAGUGAGUCACUCUUCCAGGAACCUUCCCAUGAAUUCUCAGUGACGUAUCAGUUCCUUUCUAGGAAACUAAAGAGCUCGUUGAAUUCAUACUUUUCUGGACUGUCAGUAAAGGAAAUCUGCUGGUUAUAGCACAGCGUUUCCUGUUCAUGGUAGAAAUUUCAGAAAAAGCUCCAAGAUGAGAGAGAGUUUAAAAAAAAAAAGUUUUUCCUGGCUUGAUCCCCAGUAUGCAGAAUAUGCAGCGUUUCCGAGACGUUCAAAGAGCAUCUGCUGCUUAUGUUCUGCAUUGCAGUCGCUGCCUGUGCUAAUGGCAUAGCGUACUUUAUACCAUUACGCUUUGGUUUAAAUUUUAGUCAACGAAUCUUAACUGUGGUGCUUACAAUGUGAAGUCCUGAGGAUUUAGUUUUACUAUUAAAAUAUGAGUUGACAUUUCCAGAUUUUCACAAGCUCUAAAAGAAUAUUAGAGAAAGAAGAGCUUGAUCACAUUUUCAUAGAAAAAAAAUCCUCUUUCAGUAUCUGAGAAACUGCUUUACAUUGAAGACGAGAGACUAAAUACCUAAACAGUUAUUAAAGUUUUAAUGAUUUACCUUACAAUGUGCUAUGUAGCAACUCUUGGAGAUUGUUGAUGUUAUUCGGAUGCUUUAUUUAGAUUGCUCUUUAAUGUAAGAAGAUAUAAGAAUGUGCUUAAAAUCACUUGUUUAAUCAUUUCAUUUGUAGACCUUCCUGCUGUGAAAAGUCAUUAAUUAUUUAAAUUCGGAGUAAAGCUACUGCUCACUACUGCAUGAAAGAGCAAUUAAUGCAAAACAUGUUAUUAUGAUUUUAAAACAAAGACUGGGUCAUUAUACAAUUGGCAUUUUUAACCAGCUUUAGCAUCUUAUAUUAGGGAUUAGUGCGGUUUCAUGGAAACAGUAUUCUUUGGUGUAUUCUUUCAGUAGGAUAAUGUUCUUUGCUACAAGGCUCAGAACGGUGUACUAGUACCAAACAAGAUCUUGGUUUUGACUUGGUCUCCAGAUGCCACAGAUCUCUAAUCCAAUUGAUCUGUAUGAUGGGCUGGAGCAAUAAGUCUAAUUUGCUGAGGAGAGGAUCACACUUUGUGAAGUUCAUCUUUUGUUGGAUCAGGCCUGUUUUGGCUAAAAAAAAUGGGCCCAGCGCACUGUUAGGCCAGGGGUUAUAAUGUUAUGCCUGAUUGAUGUAUAAAGAACUAUGUAGAAUUACUUACGGUCUGUAAAGUACCAUUGUACACAAUCAGUUUAUAUUAAACAAAACAAGUUUUGAUAAGUUAAUUGCUUAUCUAUGUGUUUCACUGCAGUGAAUUCUAACACAGCAGUAAAUCUCCAAGAGCAAACUUAAAAAUUUACUGCUGUGUUAAAGUUUCUCCAUAAAUAUGGACCUGUAUUUAUCCCCACUGAUUUCCCUUGUGUGCUCUGCAGUCUCAUUGCAAAUGUGUCGUUUGUCACUCUCCCAAGGCCUCCUGUCCCUUUAAAUCUUUUAUAAGCGUUACACAACAGGUCGAGUAGCACACAAGCAACAAACAACCCGAAAAAGAAAACUGACAGGGCAGGGUGGAGCGAGCCAGGCAAAGGAAUCAGACACCUACCGCCAGGGAGGCCCUCUGAUCAGAGCUGUCAUUGUGGCUACCAUGCAAACAGACUCAAAUACAACAUCUUAAUACUCCCUCACGGAAACAAACAGCUCGGCCUUGCCACCUGAAGCCUGAUAAAUGGCUCGUAAAUGCUGUGGGAAAGAACCUGUUGUGAAUGUUCUAGGCUGGGACAGGAUUCACUUGAUUUACCUGCUUGUAAAAAUUACGGUUUUUCAAUAGCUUGUUCACCUGUAUAUUAACAGCAAAAACUUCAGGGGUAAAGAACAAGGAAAUUAGAGAUGGUUGGUUAGUUUUCUACUUAGUUGAGGUACUUGGCAACAAGUCAGUGAACUGGCCACUACCUGUCCUUGCCCCACCCUCUCUGUGCAUUGUAGCUUUGCUUCUGCGUCAUGGCUCUCAUUGCCAGCAAUUGACUGCUACUUCCCUUCUCGUUUCCUCUUGUAGCGGCUGGAGACGAACAAACUAUCCUCUAUUCUUCCAAGCGACAGAGAGAACGGGAUUAAUCUCGUUUGUCUGCAGGUGAGCCUGUAAGUCAGAGGUAUACAACACAGAGGAGGCAUUUAGAGUGCAUAUGCUGUUGUUGUUUGGUCCUUCACACAUCCAUGUAGCUUGGAUUAUAUGUCAGAUGACUUGUGUGGGUGUGUUAGAGGGAAAAGAGUGACUGAGAAGUGUACGGGUGCUUUUUCAAAGUGUUUUUCCACUUAAUCAUUUGCUUUUGAUGUCUUUAUCUACUUCAUUUGUUUCCCUUAAUUCAGAUUUUUAACAGACUAUGAACCAGAUUCCAUAAACCUGAAUCUUAAACCACCCUGGAGCUCAUGCUGUGGGUCAGUGGAGGUCCUUGCAUGAUUGAUACUACUGUAUGUGCAAACCCCUGAAUGAAUCUGUGUUUUGCUGAUUAACGUGUAAUCAACGAAAAGGUAACUACCAUCUAUGCUUGAUUACAUUAUUAACAGUGGCUUUUGUUCUUGUCUUGUUGCUAAAGGUGUAUUUAUGAUAAAAAAAAGACAUCAACAUGUUCAUUUUAGAUUUUUUACAAAUAGAAUGAAGGGGUUUCUCUUUCAAACAGAUUUAAACUUUUUCCGUUUACUGUACAAAAAGUCAGUUCAGGUUUUACUUAGCUUUUAACUAGGUGAUCAAAUGCUGUCCAAAGUACAUAAAAACGGUCAAAUAGUUAAAUUUAAGAAUAUAAAUUUUAGAGUCUAUAAAAGAAGGCUAAGGUUUUUUCAUUUUCUCGUACAGUGUUUACGCCACGUCUUAUUUGCAUAACUAUGUUGACUGGAUAUGCAAAUAAACAGCAGAAAGCAUGUCUGCGGGGCACAUGACUGAAAACUUUUUUCCUCUUCAAGCUUCCGCACUGCCCCCUGACACAAUAAUGCCCUGAGGAACGAGCCUUUUUGAAAUCAAAAACAGCUGCUGACUCAAAUCGUGAGCUUCACCAGUCACCCAACCUUUAAGGUUGAUGCUAUGUACAUCACAGGGGAAUGCAGUGCCCCCCUAGACGAAUUACACCUAAAUCAUCACUGCUGGUGAUCCCUUACAGACUCUGAAAGCCUAACUUUGGACCCUCAUCUUGUUAUUUAAUGUGCCUUUAAUUUAUUUGGUAAAACACAAAUCUGUAGAACUGUCCUGUUUUAGGCACUAAAGUCUCCAAAUGAAGCAGCUUUUAACUUUGACUUUACUUCUAAUGCUCCCAACGGUGCAGUAUUAUAAAUAUUACUGAUGUCAGCAGUCCCAGCUGAAACAGAGAACCUGUGUAUAACUCUGUUGUGAGUAAAUGCCAUGCAUCUCUGAGUCAUAGUAUUGUGGGUGUUUGGUUUAUGCAUAAUUCACAUCUGCAGACAAAGAGUGAAAUAAAUGACUUAGUUUUCAUCCACAAAAAUAUGCAUUUGUAUAUAACUCCUACACCUCAACAAGAUUACAUUAUGUAUGACUAAGCAAGCUUGACUUGAAGUUACUGCAGAUUUGAAAAUGUGUGUAUUUGCUUCCAGGAUUCAUCCAUAUCUUCCCAACUCUACUUUUACUGUAUCUAUCAGAUAUGUUGUAGUAGUUACAAUAAGUAUAAAUAGAUGAGGCAAGUUAUUGAAAAAUUAUUCUUGAACCUCAACAUGUUCAUUCACAUGACAGCUACAAAUUGUUUUCUUUUUUUUUUAAACUUCACUGAGAAAUAUGGUGUACAUAGUUGAUGGGAAGAUUGAUUGAUGUAGAUAUAGAACAACUGUGGAGGAAAACUUGCUAGAGACACUUGUGUCUGGGAGGCUACAAUAGAAUAGUGUAGAUCAAAAAUAUACAGUAUGUCGUUGUUAGAGUGACCCAAAUUCUGGACCUGAAUCCAGAUGAAAAUAUGUUGCAACACUUGAAAGUGGAUAUUUGCAGAAAAUCUCCAUGCAGUCCAACUGAGCUUGAGACACUUUGGAAAGAAUAGACAAAAAUGUCUAGCCUUUAGAAGUGCAGAAUUGCUAGAUAAACCUACGUAUAUACCACAUAAAAGUUGCAGCAAAAGGUGGUUCUACCAUCAUUGCAUCAGAUGGGCUGCAUACAAAACCAUGCCACAAUCUUAUGGCAUGGGUAUAUUUCCAAUCAUAUGUCUGAUAAAGACUUAAAAAAAAUCUGUUUAUUUAAUUCCGGUUUAAAUUAACACUUUAUAUAUAUAU